UACAGAGGCCUCAAGCGUUAGGCGGAAUCACUGGGCUUAAAGCGUGUGUAGGUGGAUGCCUAAGUACCUUGUGAAAUCCCACGGCUUAACCAUGGAAUUGCUUGGUAUACUGGGUGUCUUGAGCCACUCAGGGGCUACCGGAACAAACGGUGGAGCGGUGAAAUGCGUAGAUAUCGUUUGGAACGCCAAAUGGUGAAAACGAGGUACUGGGGGGUGUGCUGGACACUGAGAC
rnacentral:rRNA from 1 species